rnacentral:rRNA from 1 species
AUGAUCUUGACAAAGAUCUGCAUGCCAUCAUGGAGGUGCCUCCCGAGCCUUUGUCCCAACGUGGUUGACUACGUUGGAAGCCGUGGGCUCCAGGGUGGUGCACUCCGCUGGUGUUGGGCGAGCUGCCCCGGCAAGGCUCUUGCCGGGGCUGCUGAGGCCGCCCAGGCAAGGGCCUUGCCGGGGGAACCUGCUGCGCCCCUCUGCUCUUUGUGUUCUUGGCGUUGUCUUGAUUUGUCUUGUGCUUUGGCUUCUCUCCGGCUUCCCUUCUCUGCCCUGCUAAGUAUGGCCGUGGCGCGUGGCUCUGACUGCCCGUGCACAAGUAAAGGGGUCAAAAGGAGAGCCCCUACUUUUGUACACCGACACCAUGCUUGUUAG